UUUCUGUAAUUCAUUUGCCCAGAGUAUACUUUUCAACGGACAUAGUUCACUCUUUGUCAAUGAGUGUUGUGGAGGGUAUUUGCCAUCUACUUGGACUUUGCAAAUUUUCUGCGAUAAAGGAUUACAGCGGAACUCUCAGGCUCCUUGGCCUGUCCACCACCCCAUGUCUGUGCUUAGCAAACGAGUAAGAGGUCUCAGGCAUCAUUGACAAGAGAGGAUGAUGAUGUGUGGGAAGUACAGUAGAUGCCGCAUCGUCACUCGAGUGAGCGAGAUUCUGUUGUAUCUUCUACCAACUGCCUGUCUUCCUCCUGGGAAUUUUACAGAGAAGGUUCAGAGCAUCUAUGACCUUCAGGGGCUCUGAGAAAAAAGAAUAACCAAAUCACCGACACAGAGUUCACCUGCAUGCCUUCUGGAAGAAGAAACACAUCGCCUUUCCUCGGGAAUUUUCACCAUCGACAGCCAGGGAUGUAACUUUGCUGAUGCCAUACUUCUGAGGGACUAUCAGAGAAUGGUCAUACUGUUGGUUUUUAAAUACCAGGAAUCGAAUUCAGAACUAUGUGCCUGCCAGGCAAAUGUUCUACCACUGAACUAUACCCUAGGACCCUAAUUUAUAAUCUGUUCUGUUUGCUGGUUUGGGUCUUAGACAUGUUACUAUAUCUCUCUCAUUGUGUCUCAGCCUUAGCUUUAUAAAACAAGACAAUGAUGAUGUUCUGAGAUAAAGUCCUCAGGGGGAAUGGGUGCACUGAUGUGCAUAAGUACUGUUAAGAGUGACACAGUUAGGCAUUUUACUAGUUUUUGUUAAAUACAUUACAAUCCCUGGCAUUGUUCCCGCCACACAUACUCUGUGGGAGCUGUGAACCCCCAGAUCCUGAAUUUCUUGUUUUCCCCUGAUCUGAGUACCUACAGCUGCUCUGAGCACGAGACCCUCAGGAGUUCCUGAUGGUAGGGGAAUGGUUUCUGGUGUGUUUGGCUGGGGCGUGGCUAUCCCUAUAUAAGCUGCCCCUGAACACAAUAAAGGGGGCAUUCUUGGGGCAUUCUGGCAUCAAGGAUGACCCCUGCCUCUCUCUGUCUGUCUCUGUGUGUUUCAAUCUCCAGCCCCUUGCCUGGCUCACCAACUGUGUGGUAGUGCAUAGAGCAGAGACGGGCGUCGUGUGCUGCAAUACUCAAUGCUCUGUGGAGUUACUGGGGUUACUGUACUUCCCAAGGAACGCGAAGGCUCUUGAGAUGCAAGCAUUCACAUUCUUCCAAACGCAAAAUCUAAUAGAAUAAAUAGGACAAUAUUUAAAAACAUAAAAUAGUUAUACAUGUUUGUAAAAACAUACAAAUUGAAGAGCUCUAACCAAGGAUGAAAACAAAAUGAUGACUACACUAACAAUCUAGGACUGGAGGAGGGAACUAAAAGAUGCGUUUCAAAGAUGGGAGGAUUUGCACAGACUACAUGGGAAAACUGUCUUGUCAGCAGAGCUUGUGGUCUGGAAAUGAACACACAGACUGGGGAAAAGGAGGUCACCUCAGAGCACCUUAUACAUUGCUUACCUAAUGGGGGUGUUUUGCAUCUUGUUGACUUGCAAAAAAAGUUACAAUAUGGUGAAUGAUGGAAUUUGUCUAUGAGAGAGAAAUAAAGGAUUAUGCCAUAGA